rnacentral:tRNA from 1 species
GACUGGCUCAGAGGUUAAAGCAUCUGCCUGGAAUGCAGGAGACCCAGAUUUGAUCCCUGGGUC